UUCCGGUUGAUCCUGCCGGACCGACUGCUAUUGGGUGAGGAUAAGCCAUGCGAGUUGAAUGGGAACCUAAAAAUCCCAUGGCAAACUGCUCAGUAACACAUGAUCAACUUGCCCUAUAGAGGAAAAUAACCUCGGGAAACUGAGGAUAAUGUUCCAUAGUUGAAUCGGCUUGGAAAAGUUUUUCAAUAAAAGGGAUAAGGAAAAUGGUCCUUAUCUGCUAUAGGAUAGGAUCGUGCUCGAUUAUGGUUGUUGGUGAGGUAAAGGCUCACCAAGCCGAUAAUCGAUAGGGGCCGUGAGAGCGGGAGCCCCGAGAUGGGUACUGAGACAACGACCCAGGCCUUAUGAGGCGCAGCAGGCGCGAAACCUCCGCAAUACACGAAAGUGUGACGGGGUUACCCAAAGUGUUCUAUUUAGAACUGUGGUAGGUGAGUAAUGUUCCCUACUAGAAAGGAGAGGGCAAGGCUGGUGCCAGCCGCCGCGGUAAAACCAGCUCUUCAAGUGGUCGGGAUAAUUAUUGGGCUUAAAGUGUCCGUAGCCGGUUUAGUAAGUUCCUGGUAAAAUCGGGUAGCUUAACUAUCUAUAUGCUAGGAAUACUGCUAUACUAGAGGGCGGGAGAGGUCUGAGGUACUACAGGGGUAGGGGUGAAAUCUUAUAAUCCUUGUAGGACCACCAGUGGCGAAGGCGUCAGACUGGAACGCGCCUGACGGUGAGGGACGAAAGCCAGGGGAGCGAACCGGAUUAGAUACCCGGGUAGUCCUGGCCGUAAACGAUGCAUACUAGGUGAUGGCACGGCCAUGAGCCGUGUCAGUGCCGUAGGGAAACCGUUAAGUGUGCCGCCUGGGAAGUACGGUCGCAAGGCUAAAACUUAAAGGAAUUGGCGGGGGAGCACCACAAGGGGUGAAGCCUGCGGUUCAAUUGGAUUCAACGCCGGA
rnacentral:rRNA from 1 species